GGAAAACCAGAAGUGUUUCAAAGAUGUGGGGCAGCUCUGCCCCUGAUUCACUACUGAAUGAAAAAGGGCUGCCAUGGAGUUAGCCACAGGUACUGCUGAUUAUAGGGCCAGUAAGUUUUAGUACCUGGAGUAUGUCUUGCUGAGGGCUUGAGGUGGGGUUUGGGGUUGUUUUUUUGGGGUGGGAUUGGUUUUUUUGUUGAAUUUUUCCUGGUUUUUUUGGGAAAUCGUUCGUGCCAAUGUGAUCUCACCCAAAUGGAGAUCGGCAACCCCAGGAGGCUGAAGCAGCUCUGGGCACUUGCUCAGCUCUGUGCUGCUGGGAUUGCUGCUGGAAUUGCUGCCAGGGUGGGAAUUGGGGUGACACUGGGCACAGCCUCCAUUCCUGCCCCCUCUCCUCAUGCUGGAUUUCACACAGAUGGCUCUGACAGUGAGCUCUGCAUCCCUGCACUGGGCUGCAGGCACCUCCUUGUUUUCCUGGCUUUUUGUGGAUCAGGUGAGGGUGAUGAUGAAUUUUUACUGUCCUGCUUGGCGCUGGGUGGUUCAAGUGGCUGUUCCUGUGAGCUGGGUGAGGAUCACACCCUCUUCCCAAGUUUUAAGCUCUCUAAGGAAGCCAAGCUGAGCAUCCUGCACAUCCCAUGGAUAGUGGGACCCACCUGCCUUUGCUCAGCACCAGGAUCCUCCUGCUCCUCUAAACCAAAUGUUUUCUCUUUGGCAGCUGGCAAGGAAUCACCUCUGUCCCUGUCAGAAAAAUCCCAGCUCGUGUUCCUCCCCCAGAAACCUUUGGGGGGAUGAGUUCAGGUGACAGGAGAGGGACAGAGGGGAUUUUGGUGUGGGGCUGGAGCCAGGAGCCCUUUUGGAGGGUUGGGAGGAAUUCCUGUUGCUGUGAGAGCAUCACCACUGCCAGCAGCAGAGCUGCCAGGAACUCCCUGGUUUGUUUUUGGGAUGCACCAAGACCUGUCCUGUUGUGUGGGAUUAUUGUCAGUAUUAACUCAAGGAUGGGCUCUCCCCUCCUCACCUGAGCCCCAUUCCCUGGGUUAUAAAGAUCCAGAUUUCCCCCAGCCUGGAAUUCUGCAUGGAUGCUGCCAGGAGGAGAACUGGUCAUUAACCAGGCCUGCUGCUGCACCCCCUUUCCCCCCUCUCACUCCAAAAACAGUUCCUGGGACCUCAGCAGGCUAAAAGCUUCCCAGAGCUUGUGUUGACAGGAAAUCAUCCCUGAAUUCCAGAGCAGAGGGAGCUCAGUCUAGCUUUGGGAGAAUGUGCUGGAAGAGCAGCAGAUCUGGGUUUGGGGAGGUCUGGCUGUUUCUGGAGGAGCAGCAGAUCUGGGUUUGGGGAGGUCUGGCUGUUUGCUGCUCUUUGCUGAUGGUUGAACACAAAAUCCUUGGUGGGUCUCUCCAGGCUGCCAGGGUUCCAAGGUCUGUGCUGGUUCCUGGUUUCCCCUCUGGUGGUUGUGGCAGCAGUGAAAAGCUGGGAAUGCAGCCUGUGUGUGAAUUGACAUUUCUGCCUGCUGGAGCGGAUUUUGCCCCAAAUCCCUAAAUUCUGCCUCGGGGUGACCCACAGGGCUGAGGGGCAGCUGUGUCCCUGCCAGUUUUGGGGGGGAUGAAGGGAGAAUCCCCCUGUGCCAGGCUGAGGGGGGCAGGGCACAGAAAUCCAGGAGUGUUGGAGCAGCCCAGCUGUGACCCCAGUUUUAUGGGUGACACAAAAGCUGCCCUGGCUCUGUCCUGGCUGUGCUUUCAGCUCUGGAUCCUCCUCCCCAGCAGGGGAGGGAUGGUGCCUCAGGGAUCCCUGCAGCUGGAGGGACAGGGAAUUCCCUUUUCCUCCCUGGCACAUCUGCACCACAGCUGGAGGAAGGAGCUGCAGCUCAAAUGCACUAUUCAGGAUUCCCACAGUUUUUUCCUCCUUUAAGCCAUAAAAUUCCCCUUCUUUUAAAAUGAAAAUUAGUGAUGGGUUGGGCAUUUCCUUACCCAAACACUUCUCUGGAGUUUUUUGUCCCAGCCCCAAAAAUGUUUUUUUUUUUUCCCUCUUCCCCAAGCAGAAGAACAAGAAUUUCUUGUUCUGGGAUAUAAGAACAUGAGAGAUCAUUUCCCUUCUGCUGUCACACAGCUCAUGGACAAGCCCAAAGCUCAGAUGGGAUUUUUCUGGGAUGGGAAUUCCUGAGCAGCCCUGGUCUGUAGGGAGGUGGGAUCAGCAGGUGAGCAGUGCAAACCUCAGACAGCACUUGGCCUGUUCAGUGUUCUCCUAAAAUUGGAUAUUCUGAUUUUUAUCUCCUUGCUCUUGGAUUUCACUCUCCUGUAUCCAGUGUUUUCCCCCAAAAAAUCCCUGGAUUCCCUCCCCAUCCCCAAAGGUGCCAACUGACAAGCAGAUGUACUGCAAAAGGGAUACUGCAGCCAAAACACUGCUGUUUUAUUUUGAA